rnacentral:lncRNA from 1 species
CGUUGGUUGGCCGGCCGGUGGUGCGGCCAGCGUGAGGCGACCGUCGGCAGGAGGGGAGACGAUCCGGCGGCAAGAGGAGGCCAAACCGGUGGUCGGCGGUGACCACCGGCGACAGAAAAACGGCAAAAAAGGAAGAUUUUUUCGCAACAAAAUUCGGCGACUCCGGUCGCCGGCGAGCAUGCACAUCGGCACGGAAAGGAAGGGAGA